rnacentral:rRNA from 1 species
GACGAACGCUGGUGGCGUGCUUAACACAUGCAAGUCGAACGGUGAAGCUCCAGCUUGCUGGAGUGGAUCAGUGGCGAACGGGUGAGUAACACGUGAGCAACCUGCCCCUGACUCUGGAAUAAGCGCUGGAAACGGCGUCUAAUACUGGAUACGAGAAGGGCCCGCAUGGGCACUUUCUGGAAAGUUUUUCGGUUGGGGAUGGGCUCGCGGCCUAUCAGCUUGCUGGUGAGGUAAUGGCUCACCAAGGCGACGACGGGUAGCCGGCCUGAGAGGGCGACCGGCCACACUGGGACUGAGACACGGCCCAGACUCCUACGGGAGGCAGCAGUGGGGAAUAUUGCACAAUGGGCGAAAGCCUGAUGCAGCGACGCCGCGUGAGGGAUGACGGCCUUCGGGUUGUAAACCUCUUUCAGCAGGGAAGAAGCGAAAGUGACGGUACCUGCAGAAGAAGCACCGGCUAACUACGUG